rnacentral:rRNA from 1 species
UACGUAGGGGGCUAGCGUUGUCCGGAAUCAUUGGGCGUAAAGGGUGCGUAGGCGGCGCGGUAAGUCGGGUGUGAAAUCUCGGAGCUUAACUCCGAAACUGCAUUCGAUACUGCCGUGCUUGAGGACUGGAGAGGAGACUGGAAUUUACGGUGUAGCGGUGAAAUGCGUAGAUAUCGUAAGGAAGACCAGUGGCGAAGGCGGGUCUCUGGACAGUUCCUGACGCUGAGGCACGAAGGUCAGGGGAGCAAACGGG